UCUGAAAAAGAGAUCACUCGUGUUACGUUAAUUCGUCUACGUUAAUUGUAAUUGUUAAUUGUUAGUAAUUUUGUAAUUUAUUCUUUUCCUCUUUUUCUUUUUCUUUUAUUUCAAAUACUACCUUAAACAAGACAUAGCGUAAAAUGUAAGAAUCAGAAUUUCAUAAUAACAACACAAUUGUACUUUCAUUCGAUAAGGCACAGGAUAUUCUCGGUUUCUUUUGUGACCGAAUGUUUUCCGGGAUAAUGGAUCAGAGUAGAGAAGCGAUAGUGAGUAAAGGCUGACUAAUCGGUCACCUCCGGAACUGGAAUUUUCUUGUGAAUAGGAUGACUAAUCUCGAUUCUUGAAAAGAGAUACGUUGUCUCUCGAUGAAAUGAUCGAAAUCGACCUACUCAUUUUUUUCUUUCACGCGUGCACGCGUCCUAUGACACAUAACAUCUUACACGAUGUAACUAAACGUUAACGCGAGCAUAGAUCGAGCUGACCGAUGAAAAAAUAUUCGUGUCAUGCAAUAUCAACGAUUUCAUAAAAGAAGUAAUUUAAUGUUAA